rnacentral:rRNA from 1 species
UAGCCGUAAACGAUACUCGCUAGGUGUCGGCCACGGUGCGACCGUUGUCGGUGCCGUAGGGAAGCCGUGAAGCGAGCCACCUGGGAAGUACGGCCGCAAGGCUGAAACUUAAAGGAAUUGGCGGGGGAGCACAACAACGGGUGGAGCUUGCGGUUUAAUUGGAUUCAACGCCGGAAAUCUUACCGGGACCGACAGCAACAUGAAGGCCAGGCUGAAGACUUUGCCGGAUUAGCUGAGAGGGAGGUGCAUGGCGUAGUCGUGU